CCUACGGGAGGCAGCCGUGAGGAAUAUUGGUCAAUGGGCGCGAGCCUGAACCAGCCAAGUAGCGUGAAGGAUGACUGCCCUACGGGUUGUAAACUUCUUUUAUAAAGGAAUAAAGUGAGGCACGUGUGCCUUUUUGUAUGUACUUUAUGAAUAAGGCUCGGCUAACUCCGUGCCAGCAGCCGCGGUAAUACGGAGGAUCAGAGCGUUAUCGGGAUUUAUUGGGUUUAACGGGAGCGUAGCUGGGUGGUUCAGUCAGUGGUGAAAGUUUGCGGCUAAACCGUAAAAUUGAAAUUGAUACUGGCAGCCUUGAUUACAGUGGAGGUAGGCGGAAUUCGGGGUGUAGCGGGGAAAUGCU
rnacentral:rRNA from 1 species